UACAGAGGGUGCGAGCGUUAAUCGGAAUUACUGGGCGUAAAGCGCACGCAGGUGGCUGAGUCAGUCGAUUGUGAAAGCCCUGGGCUUAACCUAGGAAUUGCAGUCGAUACUACUCGGCUAGAGUAUGGGAGAGGGCAGUGGAAUUCCCGGUGUAGCGGUGAAAUGCGUAGAUAUCAGGAGGAACACCGGUGGCGAAGGCGGGUCUCUGGGCCGAUACUGACGCUGAGGAGCGAAAGCGUGGGGAGCGAACGGG
rnacentral:rRNA from 1 species